GAAGCCCUGCUUGGGCUGCACAUGAACUAAGUUGGAAUGAAACAGAGAAGGUAGCAUGGCCCCUGCACAAGAAUAACAUGCAAAUUCAUGAAGCAUUCCAUAUUUUU
ensembl:snRNA U6 U6 spliceosomal RNA